rnacentral:rRNA from 1 species
AACGAACGCUGGCGGCAUGCCUAACACAUGCAAGUCGAACGAGACCUUCGGGUCUAGUGGCGCACAGGUGCGUAACGCGUGGAAACCUGCCCUUAGGUUCGGAAUAACUCCCCGAAAGGGGUGCUAAUACCGGAUAAUGUCUUCGGACCAAAGAUUUAUCGCCUUUGGAUGGGCCCGCGUUGGAUUAGCUAGUUGGUAGGGUAAAAGCCUACCAAGGCGACGAUCCAUAGCUGGUCUGAGAGGAUGAUCAGCCACACUGGGACUGAGACACGGCCCAGACUCCUACGGGAGGCAGCAGUGGGGAAUAUUGGACAAUGGGCGAAAGCCUGAUCCAGCAAUGCCGCGUGAGUGAUGAAGGCCUUAGGGUUGUAAAGCUCUUUUACCCGGGAUGAUAAUGACAGCACCGGGAGAAUAAGCUCCGGCUAACUCCGUG